GAUGAACGCUAGCGGCAGGCUUAACACAUGCAAGUCGAGCGGCAGCGCGGGGGCAACCCUGGCGGCGAGCGGCGAACGGGUGAGUAACAUAUCGGAACGUACCCAGUCGUGGGGGAUAACUAUCCGAAAGGAUAGCUAAUACCGCAUACGUCCUGAGGGAGAAAGCGGGGGAUCGCAAGACCUCGCGCGAUUGGAGCGGCCGAUAUCGGAUUAGCUAGUUGGUGGGGUAAAGGCUCACCAAGGCGACGAUCCGUAGCGGGUCUGAGAGGACGACCCGCCACACUGGAACUGAGACACGGUCCAGACUCCUACGGGAGGCAGCAGUGGGGAAUUUUGGACAAUGGGGGCAACCCUGAUCCAGCCAUUCCGCGUGAGUGAAGAAGGCC
rnacentral:rRNA from 1 species